rnacentral:rRNA from 1 species
GACGAACGCUGGCGGCGGGUCUAACACAUGCAAGUCGAGAGGACGAACCGAGUGCUUGCACUCGGGGAAACCGGCGAACGGGUGAGUAACACGUGAGGAACCUGCCCUGUACACCGGGAUAACCGCGGGAAACCGUGGCUAAUACCGGAUGCUCCACUGAGAUCGCAUGAUCAUGGUGGGAAAGCUCAGGCGGUACAGGAGGGCCUCGCGGCGUAUCAGCUAGUUGGUGGGGUAAUGGCCCACCAAGGCUACGACGCGUAGCUGGAGUGAGAGCUCGAACAGCCACACUGGGACUGAGACACGGCCCAGACUCCUACGGGAGGCAGCAGUGGAGAAUCUUGCGCAAUGGGCGAAAGCCUGACGCAGCCACGCCGCGUGCGGGAAGAAGGCCUUCGGGUCGUAAACCGCUUUCAGGAGGGAAGAAGCGAAAGUGACGGUACCUCCAGAAGAAGGUCCGGCUAACUACGUGCCAGCAGCCGCGGUAAUACGUAGGGACCGAGCGUUGUCCGGAUUUAUUGGGCGUAAAGCGCAUGUAGGCGGCCUAGUAAGU